UACAACACAACCCACUAAUAGCCUAACACAUAACACACGGCUGUCUGUGCGGGUCGCUACAAUACUAAUACUUCUGUUGUUAGGGCUACUAAUAAUGACUCACCACAAAGUUAAACUUCAGGCUUCUUCAAUAUAUAGUUUUGACAGGCUACUGAGUAUUUGUGAGAAAGACUAUCGUAAAGAGUUCCCAGUUGUCUUGAAAGCACCAUCAAUCCAGAGAAUGCCAGACUUUGAUGACAAAAUUUUGACAAAAUGUGCCCACAAGGACUGCAGCACCACCUUCCUGUUCAAGUGAGCAUGGCACAAGGUCCAUUACCAGCCUUCACAUCUCUCCUCCUCAAAUCUGUGGACCUGGCCAGGGGGAGGCCUUUUACGAGGGUGGAUGAGGCAGCAAUUCUAGCAUUAGGGGGUUUGCUUGUUGGUAGGUGCCGCUUAGCUGUCCUCUGAGCUCCCUUGUUGUUUCUGGAUGGAGCUGGCUUCAGGUUCUUGUCUACAGAGGGACACACAGAUAGUGGCUUAUUAUAACACAUUACACAAAGGGAAAUUGCUAUAGUCAAACACACAAAUGUGAAUUUAAGAGAACUCACCUUUGGGGGGGUGUCUGUUCAGAACUGGGGGCAAACAUGGACGGCUGAAUUUCAGGUGUGAGGGAGGGGAGGGGGGACAACCCGGUUGGAGCUGGUAUCGGUUUCUUGUCUACAGAAGGACAAACAGGCAUUAGUGUCUUAAUGAACACAAUAUAUUGCUAUAUUUAAACGUGAUUGUUACAGGUUAUUUUAACGAACACAUUCAUUUUUUGGGUAAUUUAUUGUUUUUCUUUUCAUUAACAAGUUGUAUUGAUUAUUUAUUGUUUGAAUUGUUUAUUUUUGUAAGAUUAACUACAUUGAUGGAAUAAAAAAAAUAUAUAAUAAAAAAUAAAUAAAGACCUCUCCAUUGGGGAAUUGCCUGUUCAGAACUGGAGGCCGCCAUGGACAGCUACAUGUCAGGUGUGGAGGUUGGUCCUUAUUUUCCAACACGCCACUGGGCUCUCUCCUCUCUUUCCCUCAGGUACCUUUUUGUUCUGUCACACUCCAGUUGGGCCUUUUGCGCUUUCCUCCUCCUCCUUCUCAAGGUGUUGAGCUGCCUUAUCCAGCCUAUGUAGCUGUGAUAACCAAAAUAAAGAAUUAGCCGAUACACUGAAAGGGUGGAUAACAAAUAUUCCGAUAUAUAGAAACUAAUGUUAAAACAUGUUACCUUCUAUGUUUACGGUCUGUAGAGUUAUAGACUGCAUUGAUGAUAGUCCCAAAGCCUGCCCUAUUGAAACCUCUAUUCAUAUUGAGUAAUAGAUCUUGGGAAACUGAGACUAUCCCUGAGACUCUCCCAAACUGCAACAAGUGAAGAUGUGCAGCAACCAAUCGGAGAUUAGUGGGCAUCGCUGGGGGGGUAGACUCCCUGCUGUCACCUGUAGUAUCUGCUGGUCAUCUCAAAUCUCUGAGUAGAACCUGACUAUUUUUUUGUUGUGUGUGUUACAACUCUGUAAACAGUGUGUUUAUUGACUAGGACAAUUAUGACUGAUUUACUUGUCUUUUUAUUUGUUGAACAUUAUAGAGUGUAUGACAAAUAAAAAUGAAUUUCAAGGGAGAAAAAGAGCUUGCAUUGAAUUAUUUAUUUCACAGGGAAUGUCAUGUGUGCACCAACCCAGUAUGAUGUCCCCUACACCUACUGUACAAGUUAAAGU